UACGUAGGGAGCGAGCGUUGUCCGGAUUCAUUGGGCGUAAAGAGCUCGUAGGCGGCUUGAUAAGUCGGAUGUGAAACCCCCAGGCUCAACCUGGAGUCGCCAUCCGAUACUGUCAUGGCUAGAGUCCGGUAGGGGCCCACGGAACUCCUGGUGUAGCGGUGAAAUGCGCAGAUAUCAGGAAGAACACCGAUGGCGAAGGCAGUGGGCUGGGCCGGUACUGACGCUGAGGAGCGAAAGCGUGGGGAGCGAACAGG
rnacentral:rRNA from 1 species